GAUUGAGGUGACCACUACAGUAUAUAAAGAUGCUUUGCUGUCCUUGUAUUCCUCUGAGGAAGAGGAAGAAAGUCCAGGCAGAGCAAUGCUUGGAGAGGAGGCCUUGUCACUGGCUGAGGAGAUUGUUUAGAAAAGACAAGACUGGGGAUGCUGGUAUACCUG